GUUUUCUUACAAGCUCCAGUGAAAAAGAAAACCAGAACAGGAGGACGUCACCCAGCCAGCGGUGUAAGAUCUGAGCCAGGUACAGGAGUGCAUCCCAGCGCAGAAGGGGAACACACAGUUUGACUCUCAGUGAGUCCAGCUGAGUUCACCAGCGUUACUGUACAGCUCACAGCCACCUGCCGAAUGCUCCCUUCUGUGAAACACCAACCAACCCAGGCCAGGCAGAAAAAAAACUGAGGGUUUCCUUUAAGAAAUAUGGCUUAACUUCAUCCAGCAGCUGGUGGAAGUAAAAGCCGACACCCACAACUAUUCACCGAACUGAACUGGAAUCCAGUUGCAGAGAAGGACGAGUGAAAAGCAAAGGGGUCCAGACCAGGCUGGUGAAACCCACAGAAACAGCUGACUUGAACAUCAGGGAACUCUUGCUCCCCAGACUGAUAGCUGGGAUACCAGCAUGAGACUGAUCCAGCCCCCAGGAACAUGGGUUUCUGUGAGGAAACCUUGGAAAUCUAUGGGAUCUCCUGUAGUUGUUCAGUACUUAUCCCUAGCAUAGGUGUGGACUUUGGGAGCCCAUUCCACAUAGAGGGAUACUCCCUGAGCCAAGACACACGGGGUGGGCCUAGGCCCUAUCCCAAAGGAUGGGAUAGACUCUGAUGACACCCUAUGGAAGGCCUCA
rnacentral:lncRNA from 1 species